AAAAGGUGUAGUUUUACAUUAUUCAUAUUCAACGUUUGAACAUCCAUCUUAUUUGAAAAAAAAAUUGAUUAGUAUUUUUAUAUUGUUAUUAGAUGAUAAAACAUAAGUAGUAUUUUAUAUGUAACUAUUUUUUUAUUUCUUUCAUAAAGUUUUCAAAUAAAAUGAUGGUGAAACGUUGGUCAUUUAAAUCCACAACUGCACUUAAA
rnacentral:pre_miRNA from 1 species